UACGAAGGGGGCUAGCGUUGCUCGGAAUCACUGGGCGUAAAGGGUGCGUAGGCGGGUCUUUAAGUCAGGGGUGAAAUCCUGGAGCUCAACUCCAGAACUGCCUUUGAUACUGAAGAUCUUGAGUUCGGGAGAGGUGAGUGGAACUGCGAGUGUAGAGGUGAAAUUCGUAGAUAUUCGCAAGAACCCCAGUGGCGAAGGCGGCUCACUGGCCCGAUACUGACGCUGAGGCACGAAAGCGUGGGAGCAAACAGG
rnacentral:rRNA from 1 species